rnacentral:sRNA from 1 species
UGGAAUUUAAUUAAAAGAAUAUUUUAUUUAAAAUCUAUAUUCAAUGUAUAACUCUCAAAAUCUUAUUAUAUAAAGUAUGGUUUUCAAAAUUAGUAAUUCACAUGAUCAUUACACUUGUCAAAUCUAUUGACUUAAGAUUUGGCCAUAUGUCCAAUAAAGUUUUCCUUU